UACGUAGGGUGCAAGCGUUGUCCGGAAUUAUUGGGCGUAAAGAGCUCGUAGGCGGUUUGUCGCGUCUGCUGUGAAAACUCGGGGCUUAACCCCGGGCCUGCAGUGGGUACGGGCGGACUAGAGUGCGGUAGGGGAGACUGGAAUUCCUGGUGUAGCGGUGAAAUGCGCAGAUAUCAGGAGGAACACCGGUGGCGAAGGCGGGUCUCUGGGCCGUAACUGACGCUGAGGAGCGAAAGCGUGGGGAGCGAACAGG
rnacentral:rRNA from 1 species